UGUGAUUUUCCACCCACACCACCGCCGAGGCAGACCCAGCUUUUGGCACGCUCCCUGUUUCCCACCCUCUCUGGCAGCAAGGAUGCUUGCAAGGGAAAAACCAGCAAAACUGAGUGUGUUGAAGAACAAUGAUGAAAAAGGCCUGGGAACAAGUAGAUGGGAGAGCUUUAAAAACUUUGCUGGGUCUCAGAUGCCCACGAGGGCCAGUCGGAGUGGUACAGGAAGGUGAUGGCCCCCCCCCCGGCCACAAAGCUUACCCCGCUGCUGCCUGCUUCAGUGAGCCUGGUGGUGUUAAAUAAAACAGGUUAUGUGGCCCGUGCAUUAGGCAGACGGACAAAUCGCAGCUGAAUUGACUCUCUUAGGUGGAGGACCAUCGCUCCGGCUCGCAGGGCGAUAUCUGCCGCUCACGUGCACAGAGGCAGCACGCUGCCCACGCUACCCACCCGGCUCAGCCGCCACGCAUGAGCCUCGGACCAACAACCCCUCCUUCUCCUGCAUGACCAGCACUCGAAUCCCCAGCAAAAUCUGAAUUAACCUGAGGAAACCAGGUAUGAAUUUUGCCAGAGAGAGUAAGGAAGCAAACACCUGGAGGGCUUAAGCAAUGGGAAGCAUUUUCCAAGUUGUGUCUGCCCUCCACAGCGCUGUUAGGAGCAGUUUUACCCCAGGGAACGCAAGCAUGGAAAAAAGCACUGACCCAUGUCUGCUAUCACACUGUGGUUUGGUGUUCGGAGCCUUAAUAACAUAUUUGCCCUGUGUGUGCCUCAAAUUGUUCAUUGUUCCUUCAUGUUUAGUGAAAAACAAUUUUUUUGAAGUUAAAUGAAGAUGUUUUCCUUCUGGACUUAGAUGGAGAAAUGAACUGUUCAUGGAGAAAUGAACUGUUCACAUUGCGAAAGUCAUGUAAAAUAAUACCAGUAAUAUUAACAAUCAUGCUUCCAAAGGCACAGUUACAGGAGAAAUGGCUGUAGUUUGACAUUUAGCUGGAAGUUUACUGAUAUAAAGAUUUCAUAUCAACAGUUAAAAUUGUGCAGCUAGAACAAUGACUGUGUGGGAAGGCAACACCCACUGCCGUUUUUUUUCUCUCCAUACACAGCACGGUUUCCAAACCACUUGGAGGGAAGGAGGUACAAAGCCCUUUGUCAAGGAGCAAGCCGAGAGCUGCUGAGCCACGGUGUUUUGGUACGUUCCGCUGGUCCCUCGGCAAAGAGGGAUGCCAAAGCCACGCAGGAGGAACAAGCAGCCCCACAACUGUUUUGCCAUCUCAAAUCGGCGAUCACGACUCUAUACGCAGGAGACAUUUUAAGGAAAAUGAAACGCCGGCUACUCUGUCAGACAUCCACAAACCAAGCCAGCUUCUCUUGGCUUGAAGAGUCCCAGCGAAUGCUCAUUCUGCAGCAAUGGCUCCCACCCAGGCUGUGGGUGCAAACCCCGCUGCAGCGGUAGCCGUGCAAUGCCCUGUCCUGGCUCUGUACCAGCGAUUAUUACUGCUGUUCAAACAGAGCUGAACAGCAAGCCUGCAAACAACACUCCCUGGUACGACGUCCUGUUCCAGCCACUUUCUGUUACACACGGUGUCUCAUCCAGACUAGAGCUGCAUCAGCAACCGGGCAUGAGCUCCACAAAGGACACUACUAUUUUCGGGGUGCCUACAAGUCCAACCCCAUCUGUCAAUUAACAAAUUUAAGCAGAGCGUGAAGUGUCGGUCAUGCUGAUACCAGCAUGCACAGAAAACCUGCCAUUUUCUCCACCGCAUUACAGCUUUUUCCCUAAGGCACGUCCCACCCUCGGGAACGUGGCAGAAGAGGUUUGUGGGGCUCCAACUGUUGCUAUGAUUAAAACUGAAAGACAUCUGCAUAGCUUAUAACUCCUACAGGUGAUAUUUCUCCAGCCCCUAUCUUCAGGAUAUAUGUGUAAAAUACUCCUAUUGAUGCUACUUCUCUUAGAGCAGCCCCUCACUUCCAAGUUACAGUGGGAGCUCCGGGCAAAAUGAAUUGUCCCUGUUGUAUCAUCGAGGGAACUGAAAAAAGCAAGUCUGAGAACAGUGAUGAAAGUAGUAGAAAAUAGGAGACAAAUGUAAGGGCAGGGUUGUUUGCGUAAACGCUGUGAUAAGUUUUAGGUAAGUCCAUAGGUCAAGGACCAUGACGUUUAGAAAUCCACCGAUGCCUGUAAGUGCAAGCUGGGGCUUGGGGAAGCUGCUAAACAACUGGUAGCUGGUAAUUAGGAGAAAAGCUCCAAUUGCGGCACAAAUGGUUCCUGUGGUGUAAAACACUAAUUAAGGCAGAGAAGAGUGGAGAUCGGCGGCUUGGGCAGACUCUGCCUUGCCUGGGCUGCGAGGUGGCCGGGCAGGGGAUGGACCCCUGCCAUGUCCCGAGUUUGCAUCGUGGCUUUGGAUCGCCCACAGGCUGUCCUGCACGAUGGGCAGCUGCAGCGUAAAGAGAAAAAUGAAGAAAAAUCUGUGUUUAUCCCUCCUGAUGGAAGAUAACAUCAAGUCAGGUAACAAGAAACAAGGUAAAAUUGCUGGGUUGGGUCACCCAUGAGACGAAAGCACCAGCUUUGACGAAGAAUCCCAGUUUCUACCUGAGCCAGUAACAUGGUCCGGUCGUGAUUAUCCUCUUUGACCAUGUUUUUGUCAGCGGCUGAGAACAGAGGGAUUUUGGGGUGGAGGGAUAGUCAGAGACUACCCAGGAUUUUGGUACGGGGAUAGUCACAGACCCCCGGCAUCCUUCUCCCAGCAGUGCUGUGGCACCAAAGUCCUCGGGUGCAGUCUCGCUGCAGACCAAAGUACAACAGCCUCUUCCCAAAGUAAAUGACCUUAAGGCCAGCCAGAAACCAAGAAUUCCAUUUUGUGAAACAUUUGGGUUUGUUCCACGGGGACUUAAUUGCCUUUUGUUUGCUUUUGUGCAAAAAUGAAAGUGUUUGGCAGAAAGAAAUGCACUGCAGAUAAGCGUAUAAACCAGGGAUUAAGACACUCGCUGGGGAGAUGAGAACCUCCACAUCAAAUCUUUGAUUUAUUCCAGGAAUUGGGCUUCUGUUAAUCACCUAUUUUUUAGUUCAUUGGCCUAGUUGUAUUUGGGGAUGAAUGUACCAUUUUGUCACAUCAGAAAUGGAACAUUAAUAGGAACGUACCGUUAAUUUGGAGGGUGCUUGUACCUGCUGAAAAGGAAUAAAUGAUGCUAUAAUUGAGGUUGAAAAAUAAUUCACUCAAAAACCCUGGAACAUUUACAGAAUGCAGAAAUGCAAUGCAAAUUUUCAUGCCUGAGAUAUUCAUAAAUGAUUUUGUGAGUCAUUGCAGUUACCCUGUAAACAGUGGUUUAGGUAGCCAGUGCUUUGCUCUCGGUUUCAAACUCAUCCUCCUACGGGUUGAGAAGUCUUACAACCUUCCAUCACACCCGGAGGGGUCUAUGGUCCUGGUCCGGUGUGCUGAUGCUGGGCUGUCCCACCCUGGAGAUGGAGGCACCCCAUGGUUUGGGCAGGAACAGGGCAUGGCUUUGCCAGUGCUGGGAGCCCUGGGCUGAGCUGGGGAAGAGCCAGAGCUAGCCACGUUUUAAGCAAGAAGAGGGGACUGUGGCCACACGGGCAAGACGAGGACAGGGUCUCAGUUGCAGGUGUCGCGGGAGUUUAAUGCAUUGCUGCACUGCGGUCCCCAGCCCUCCCCAGGGAUCUGGGUUUUACGCUGGGAACCGUCACCGAGACACUUGCAGCAUCCUUCUUUGCUGCAGCCAAAGCCUUCCCCGCACCGAAACCCACAGCACCUCCUGGGCUGGUACCCUGUGACGCCGUCUCCUGCAAAGUGUUUUUCACCCCUCGCCCAGGCUGGAGCUGCUUCCCCAUCCCAAUUCAGCGCUGGCAGAGGAGUCUGAGGUCUGCCGGGGUCACCGACACUCCCGGCAGCAGUGAAGGAAUGAGCGGGGCAGGCACCCUGCUACCAGCGAAGCCCUCCCGGGGGGGUGGCAAAAAGGGGCAGAAAAGGGAUUUGGGCAACUGGGGCUGCUAAGGGGGUAAGCGAAGGCUCUCCCAGUCUCUGCAGCUGAGUUUGGUCUCCUUUGCGCACCAGGACCCAGAGCUUCCACAGCCCCUCCAGCUGCUCCUGCUUCUGACAUCGUGGUCAGGAUUUUGGGGGACUCGGCAGGCUGUGAAGAACCAACCUGGCCUUAGUUCGGGCCCUUCGAAACGCAGACAUCAAGGACGCUUAAAAGCUGCAUCUACCAUACACAGUGGUUUUAGAAGGAGCUUAAUAUAAAACUUUGGAGCCACCUUUUUCCAGACAGAGGUUUUACAGCAUGGGAACAAGGCAGGAAAGUUGGGAAGAAGGGAUAGUAGUAGUAGUAGUAGUAUCAUCAUCAUCAUCAUCAUCAUCAUCAUCAUCACCA